rnacentral:rRNA from 1 species
AGUGAACGCUGGCGGUAGGCCUAACACAUGCAAGUCGAACGGCAGCACAGUAAGAGCUUGCUCUUACGGGUGGCGAGUGGCGGACGGGUGGGGAAUACAUCGGAAUCUACUUUUUCGUGAGGGAUAACGUAGGGAAACUUACGCUAAUACCGCAUACGACCUACGGGUGAAAGCAGGGGAUCUUCGGACCUUGCGCGAUUGAAUGAGCCGAUGUCGGAUUAGCUUGUUGGCGGGGUAGAGGCGCACCAAGGCGACGAUCCGUAGCUGGUCUGAGAGGAUGAGCAGCGACACUGGAACUGAGACACGGUCCAGACUCCUACGGGAGGCAGCAGUGGGGAAUAUUGGACAAGGGGCGCAAGCCGGAUCCAGCCAUACCGCGUGGGUGAAGAAGGUCUUCGGGUUGUAAAGCCCUUUUGUUGGGAAAGAAAAGCAGCAGGUUAAUACCCCGCUGUUCUGACGGUACUCAAAGAAUAAGCACCGGCUAACUUCGUG